rnacentral:rRNA from 1 species
UACGGAUGAUGCGAGCGUUAUCCGGAUUUAUUGGGUUUAAAGGGUGCGUAGGCGGGCUUUUAAGUCAGCGGUAAAAAUUCGGGGCUCAACCCCGUCCGGCCGUUGAAACUGGGGGCCUUGAGUGGGCGAGAAGAAGGCGGAAUGCGUGGUGUAGCGGUGAAAUGCAUAGAUAUCACGCAGAACCCCGAUUGCGAAGGCAGCCUUCCGGCGCCCUACUGACGCUGAGGCACGAAAGUGCGGGGAUCGAACAGG